AUGCAAGUCGAGCGAGAACCGUAGCAAUACGGGGACAGCGGCGAAAGGGACAGUAAUGUGUAGGUACCUACCCCGAGGUCUGGGAUAGCUGCGGGAAACUGCAGGUAAUACCGGAUAAUGUCUUCGGACCAAAGGUGUGAUUCCACCUUGGGAGGGGCCUGCAUCCUAUUAGCUAGUUGGGGAGGUAACGGCUCACCAAGGCGACGAUGGGUAGCGGGUGUGAGAGCACGACCCGCGUCAUUGGGACUGAGACACUGCCCAGACACCUACGGGUGGCUGCAGUCGAGGAUCUUCGGCAAUGGGCGCAAGCCUGACCGAGCGACGCCGCGUGCGGGAUGAAGGCCUUCGGGUUGUAAACCGCUGUCGUAGAGGAGGAAAUGCAGGGGGGUUCUCCCUUCUGUUUGACCUAUUCUAGGAGGAAGUACGGGCUAAGUUCGUGCCAGCAGCCGCGGUAAGACGAACCGUACAAACGUUACUCGGAAUUACUGGGCUUAAAGGGUGCGUAGGCUGCGCGGAAAGUUGGGUGUGAAAGCCCUCAGCUCAACUGGGGAAUUGCAUUCAAAACUACCGUGCUCGAGGGAGACAGAGGUAAGCGGAACUCAAGGUGGAGCGGUGAAAUGCGUUGAUAUCUUGAGGAACACCGGUGGCGAAGGCGGCUUACUGGGUCUCUUCUGACGCUGAGGCACGAAAGCUAAGGUAGCAAACGGGAUUAGAUACCCCGGUAGUCUUAGCUGUAAACGAUGAGCACUUGUUUG
rnacentral:rRNA from 1 species